rnacentral:lncRNA from 1 species
GUCUGAGCUGAAUCUUAAAGAAGCCAGGGAAACUAAGAGGAGGAAGCGUGACCAGAACUGUACUCUUCCAAACACUCCCUCCUGAAUUGCUCAUCUAAAUGAGGACAGAAACUCCUGAGCCAGAAAAUGUCUUGAAUCCAUCCCCCUAUAGGAUUUUUGAUUGAAGUGUGAAGGAACAUAAAAUCAGCCCAAAACAUACUCUGUUGAGCUUAUUGGAAAAUGACUAGAAUAAAUGGAUGAGUAAACUGAGGGUCACACAUGGGAUGAAGUAAACCAGUCUGGCACAAUGUCUUCUGAGCACAAUUUGGAGAGGCCCCUUCCCAGGCCCCAUGGUAUCACUUCCCUGAGACCUUCAACUCAACUUCCCCUUUCAAUGACUGCUCCCCUAUCAGAAGGUAAAUUCACUUGGAACAGAGACCGUCUUGCUUCUAUUUGUAAUCUCAGCACUCAGAACAAUACCUGAAACUUAGUAAGUGCCUAAUAACUGAAAAGGAUCCAAAAGAGAACAACUAGGAUUAUAAAGGACCUUGCAUUUACAUCAUAUGGGGACUGAAUGAAUGGGAAUGUUCAGCGUGGAGAAGUGAAGAUGCAGAGGGAAUAUAAUCUUGCUCAAAUAAUUGAAGGGCUAUCACAUAAAGGACGCAUAAAUUAGUCUUUCUCUGUCUGUCCUGAGAGCAACAGGUAGGAGUUAAAAAAGGGCAAACAAAGUAAGGCUGAGUGACAGCAAAAAAAAAUCCUAACCAUUUAGAGUAUCUAAAAGUAGAAUGGAUUCCCCACAUAGGUACCCUCUUCUUGGCAGUCUUCAGGAAGAAGCUAGACAACCACCAAGCAGAUACAAUGUAGAAGGGAUUUGUUUCUGUAUAUGGAUUAGAUGAAAAGGCCACUGAGAUAUCUUUCAAAUCUCAAAUUCAUGGAAGCUAUGAUUUCUCCACUGGUAACUUGCUACUAAGUGAUAGAACCAUAUUACUACAAUUCUCCUAAGUCCAGGUAUGGUGCUUUCUGCUAGUUCGUGAUGUCAAUGGCAAUAUUUGA